rnacentral:lncRNA from 1 species
CGGAGAUUUGUGAUUGCUCUUUCUCCUCAGUAACAGCAGCCAUCCCUUUAUUCAAGACCUGAGAGGCCACAUUAUCUUUGGAGGAGGCUGGACAGCAUGAGUCGAAGGCUCUAGAGAAGAUUGAGAAUGUUCCAAAAGUCUACCACCACACUACUUUGGAAAGGCCAAGGGUAAACAGCUUCAGGGCAUGCCCACGUGGACUAGGACGGAAAAUAGUCCUUUUCAACCACAGAGAAAAGUGCAGCCUGCUCUUGCCAGUGUGGGGAGACAGAUCUUCCAGCUGGAUCACCCUUACUCCUCUUCAGGAUCGAAGGAUCCCUACCCAGACACUGUGUGAAAAGGCCUGGGUUAGCCUGCAGGAACGUGAGGAGAUUGUGUAAAGCAGCAACAAACCAGCCAAGCUGAGACCACCCUAGAGCUCCCAGUCAAUCCAGCAGACUCGUGACCGAGCCUAGCCAAGACCAGAAGAACUGCCCAGCAAAGCUCAGCCCAAACUGCCGACCCAC